ensembl:lncRNA
CUUGGCAUAACCCAUGGGGACUUCUGCGGUAUAAAGUGUCCCAGGGAGUUGUCCUCUGAAUCGAGGUAACGGGAUGGGGCUUUUGUCCAUCUGUGUCAGCCAGUCAUUGACCGUGGGAUGCCAGUGGAGAAUGGUGUGUGCUUUCUGGCCCUCCAGGGGCUGUUUUUCUGGACAGGGGGAGCAGCUGCGAACAGCUAGCAGCCAAAGCUCACAGCAGCUGGGGGAUGGAGGCACUUGAUGUGGACGCUUCAUUCUUGAGGAGCUGGAGUGUGACUCCCCGCUCUUUGGGUGUGGGCUGCAUGUGGUGACCUCCUACCAGAGACUGCAGCGUGUGGUGGUGGGGGCGGGGGGGUGGGCACUGGGUAACUUUACAGUGGAGAAGCCUGACAAGCCUGACUCAGCCAGGGGAUCAAGGUGAACGACAACAGUGAUAAAUCAUCGUGUACUCUGGGCAUGAGGAGAUGAAAAUGACACUCCCUCUGUGAUCUUCCUUCCCAAACCCAUAACCCCCGUGCAGUCAUGAGAAAAACAUUAGACAAAUCCCAACUGAGGGAUGAUCUGCAAAACACCUUACUCCUCAAAACUGUCAAGGUCAUUGAAAACAAGGAGUGUCUGAAAAACUGCCAUACCUCAGAGGAGUCUUAAGUAGACAUGAUGACUAGAUGUAUUGUGAGAUCUUGGAUGGGAUCUUGGAGUUGAAAAGGGAAAUUAGCUAAAAAACUAAACAAAUAUGAGUAUAGUAUGGACUUUACUUCAUAAGUAUGUAUCAAUAUUGAUUUGGUGACUUUGACAAAUGUAUUAUACCAGUGGAAGAUGUUAAUAAUAGGUGUUCACCGAAAACAGACUGCUAAAUAUUUCCCCAAGCAAAGGUGUGGUUUUUUGUUUUUUUUUUUUUUUUUUUUGGUUGGGGGAGGGAUCAGCAGAGAAUUGCUUUUCAGAGUCUGCAACCAUAGAGAGCCACGUGCAAACUCCCAUACCACAAGGGAAGGAGAACACUUCUAGAGGGGAAAAGGAAGCUAGGAGGGCUAUGAAAGUAAAAGUUACUCAGUCAAGUCUGAUUCUUUGUGACCCCAUGGACUGUAGCCCACCAGGCUCCUCUGUCNNNNNNNNNNNNNNNNNNNNNNNNNUGGAGUGGGUAGCCGUUCCCUUCUCCAGGGGAUCUUCUCAACCCAGGGAUUGGAUCGAGGUCUCCUGCAUUGCAGGAAGCUUCUCUGUCAGCUGAGCUAUCAAGGAAAUAAACAAAGACUCCAUGGCUUUUCACUGAUUGAGUCCUUGCCAGAUAAGAAGAGGAGUCUUUCUUCUUCCUGUUGAACUCUGCUAUAGUCACAGGGCAUGAGAGCUUUUCCUUCUGGUUUCUCAACUCUAUUCAGUUAAGGUUUCUGUUUAUUUUUUCUGUAGUCUAAAUUGGAUAUGGGGUAUAUGGGAAUCCCACAUAUAGGAAGUACAGUAUAUUGUACUAUCUGAAAAUUUUCUGUAAAUCAAAAUCUACUCUAAAGUAAAAAGGUUAUUGUAAGAAAAAAGAAAAAAAAAAGUGCUCCUGGGGAAAUUGGUAUGAGAGGGUACAGCAGGGAAAGAGCUACUUGAGGGAUAGCUUUCAGUCUCAGCCUGAUCCGAGGUGUGCAGGAGUUCUAGAGGAGAAUCACACAGCAGAGUCUGUCCUGCGUGGAGUCGAGGUUGCUGGACUCUGACACUGCUGCAGAUGCCCAGGCAUCAUAAAGUCUCAGCACUCUGGCUUUCUCAGUUCGUUUGAGUCCAGUGGCUCCAGAAGUCCAUGAUGGUCUUCUGAAGGGCAUGCAAUGAAAGAGAAAAAACAUGUCAGAGUGAGGAGAUCAACACACUGAAUCAGUUAAGGGAAUCCAAGGAGAUUUCAGCAGCACCUUUUCACUGUCCUCUACUCUCAGAGNNNNNNNNNNNNNNNNNNNNNNNNNNNNNNNNNNNNNNNNNNNNNNNNNNNNNNNNNNNNNNNNNNNNNNNNNNNNNNNNNNNNNNNNNNNNNNNNNNNUCCAAGGAGAUUUCAGCAGCACCUUUUCACUGUCCUCUACUCUCAGAGAUGGAGAGAAUAGCUAACCGUCUAUGGUUACAGUGCUAUCAGGUAGCAUAACCAAGAUUCAGGCCUGGGCUGUCUGGCCCCACAAUUUCCUUCCAACUCAACACUGUAGUAGACUAUUCUGAAGGCUUUGGAACUCUUGCCAAGCCAUGAAAUUGGUAAUAUAUUUCACCUUUUCUUGUAUUCUCCAGGGGCAGGGAGAUAGCAGCUGACAUCCACAUGAUGUCCUGGACAUCCCUGUUCAGGAGAACUGAGAUGUUCCUGCAUAGCAAUCUGUGAGUGACUCACAUAUCUGCAAGGAACAGAUUCUUCAAACACUUACUAAAAAAUGCACCUUUUUAGCAAAAGAUGAAGUGGGUCUUAGCUAAUGGUGUCCAACUGGCCACUGACUCUUGAAGCAGAGAAAAAGCAGAGAACUGGUGGGAUUUAGCAGUCAUCACAGUCAGCAAUUACUAUUAGCAAAGGGGAUUAAUGUCGGAUAAGCUGUGGCCAUAAAUGUCUAUUUUCCACAUUACCCUCAAUAUCAAAGGUCCAUAUCUGUCCCAUUAAACAACUGCCAAAUGACAGCUCCAGGGACAUGGAGCUGCCAGAGGAAUCACUGCUAAUGCAGGUUUUAUAAUCUCCAUUUAUUUAACAUAAUUGGCUUAAAACUGUUUCUGAAGGAAAGAAGCAAGAUGAUAUUUGGUAUGGGAAAACUUUUCUUUAGCAGCACACUGUAGGAUAACAGAAUGGAGAUGACUAUUCCUAAUUAUUUGCUGUUUUGAAGCUGGCUCACAAUUACUGUAAAAAUACUUCCUCAUUCCACCAGAGUUAGGCACAGAAAUCAUUGCUGGAGUUAAUGGAAUUUAUUAUCUCUGAUUCCUCACCUCUGUGAAUCCUGCUUCUGCUACUUCUGCUGCAAGAAAGAAUGCUGACUGCCCUCCACAACUAUUUAUUAGUCAGCUUG